UGACUCACGCGGGAAUCUUACCGGGUCCGGACACACUGAGGAUUGACAGAUAUAUACCCCGUGAUUUUAUCGCGGGGUUGAAAGAUGCUAGUUCUUUCAUGAUUAUGUGAUAGGUGGUGCAUGGCCGUUCUUAGUUCGUGGAGUGAUCUGUCUGCUUAAUUGCGUAUCAAUAAUAGAGACCUAGUAUACGCGUAGACUCAUGCGGUAGUGACCCCCCUUCACAGGGCGCGUGUCGCACGUAUGUUAUACGCACAGGUCUCCGAUAGCAACGAACGUGACCGUACUCUAUUGUUGCAGCGACAAUACCUUUCAACGGGUAUUACCGCUGCUUAGCAAGAUUCGUCUUGCAUUAAACUAUAGAGACCGCUGUUUCUUCUUUAAACCAGAGGAAGGAUACGGCAAUAACAGGUCUGUGAUGCCCUCAGAUGUUCCGGGCUGCACACGUGCUACAAUGAUCAUUGCACUGUGCAUCUAACCCAAUGUGCGCGGACGCCGCCGUGCGUAUAUACUUUAUUGUGUAUGCGUAUCGUGCGUGCGACCGCGCCGAACCUGCUUCGAAAGUAAACAUUUCCAGGGGGUAAUCCAUUAAAAGUAAUGACUCGCAAUAGACCAUG
rnacentral:rRNA from 1 species